GAUGAACGCUGGCGGCGUGCCUAAUACAUGCAAGUCGAGCGAACGGAAAAGACGCUUGCUUCUCUGAUGAUAGAGGAGGAAGGGUGAGUAACACGUGGAUAACCUACCUAUAAGACUGGGAUAACUUCGGGAAACCGGAGCUAAUACCGGAUAAUAUUUUGAACCGCAUGGUUCAAAAGUGAAAGACGGUCUUGCUGUCACUUAUAGAUGGAUCCGCGCUGCAUUAGCUAGUUGGUAAGGUAACGGCUUACCAAGGCAACGAUGCAUAGCCGACCUGAGAGGGUGAUCGGCCACACUGGAACUGAGACACGGUCCAGACUCCUACGGGAGGCAGCAGUAGGGAAUCUUCCGCAAUGGGCGAAAGCCUGACGGAGCAACGCCGCGUGAGUGAUGAAGGUCUUCGGAUCGUAAAACUCUGUUAUUAGGGAAGAACAUAUGUGUAAGUAACUGCGCACAUCUUGACGGUACCUAAUCAGAAAGCCACGGCUAACUACGUG
rnacentral:rRNA from 1 species